UUUUGUAAAAACUUUACAAGUCAGAGGGAUUAUUUGCUCAAACAGCAACCAGUGCAAACAUAUUUUGCUGGACUCUAAGAAGGAGAAAGAAAACAAAAGAGGAUACUGUGGGUGUUGAAGAGGAGAAGGCCCCGCUGAAAAAAAUCGUGACAUCACGCCCAUUUAGAAUCUUACCACCACUUUGAUCCUUUGAGCCUUUGAUCCUAAAAACCCAUAAAUAGGAGUGAGAAGCAACAACUUUUAGUUCGUUGUUCGCAGCAUUUAUGUUCGCAGCAUUGAAACGUUUGACAGAGAAGCCUUUCAAAACAAUUGGAUCCUUUUCAGAGUGACUUUUUACACUUUCCAUCAUGUCUCUGAAAAAACACACAAGAAAAGAAAAAGUAAAGCCCAGCUCUCCUCUUCUGGCUCAAGAAGACAAUAUUCAAGUUCAGAAGAUGUGCUUGGAAGAGAUGCAUGAGGAAAAUCUCAUGAACAAUCGCAAUACGAAACACCCGCCCCAGCCAGAGUACAUCUAUUACGUCUGGCAGAGUUUUUUUGAACAGCGAAAGGAGAUUAUCUUCCUCAGAAAAGAAAAUGAGAGAAAGACUGCUGAAGUAGAUAAAUUAUUCAGCCAGCUUCUUGAAAAGGAAGAUAUUCAGAAGGAGAAAGAAAUGGAACUCCUAGACGUGCGUGGAAGGAACUUUGAGCUCAAAGCAAAGCUUGAUAAAGCAAUAGAAAAACUCAAAGAAAUCCUCCAGCAGAAGAAAAAUGAGAAAGACAAGGACAAAAAGGAUCGGGAGCUGCAAUUAAAGCUUGAUGAAGCUCUGCAAAAAAAUACAGAAAUCCUCCAAGAGAAGAAACGGCAGGACAUAGAACUCCAAAACUUGGGGAUCAAAUACAAAGCAUUGCUUCAAG